rnacentral:rRNA from 1 species
AACGAACGUUGGCGGCGUGGAUUAGGCAUGCAAGUCGAACGAAUGUCAGUUUUGUAGCAAUACAGAGCUGGCGGAAGUGGCGAAAGGGGCAGUAAUGCAUGGGUAACCUACCUUGGGGAUGGGCAUAGCCGUUCUAACGAGCGGGUAAUUCCCAGAGAUUCGGCGGGAGGGCAUCCUUCUACCGGGAAAUGAGUUUCGCCUCGAGAGGGGCCCAUGUGCUAUUAGCUAGUUGGGGGUAACGGCCUACCAA